rnacentral:lncRNA from 1 species
GCCUAACUUAUGUGUCAUGCAAAGGAUGGCUCUUGGAAAAAUGCAAAGGAGCAGGGGCCGCUAAGGGAGAGAUGUGAAGGUCAAGGAAGCUCUGAGCUCCUGACAGCCGCCCUUCCAGCCUUCUCCUGCCUUCCAUAGAGAGAUGCUAUGGACUCUUGGUCCAGAGACUCAAAUUCAAGGAAAAGAAGAGGCAACAUUUGCAGUGUUGAUCCUUGAGUUGAACAAAGGGUGGUCAGGAGAAGAAACCAACAAGAAAUGUAACCUACCUCCAGAACUCAGGAACUCAGGUACCCUUAAGGAUAUCAGAAACAAUGAAAUAUGGAUUGGCAGAAGCAUCUUCACCACCAUCUUCAGAUGUAAUUAAUGCAGCUGUUGAAUUUGGUUGACUAUCCACCUAUAAUUACCACAUUGCCCAUUACAGAUUUUUGCUGCCUUAAAUUCUCCCAGAUUGUGAUACCUCAUUUCUGAGGACUUCAUCUUUACCAAAUCUUUCAAUCCAAAGCAAACGAAUACUGAAAAUUCAUGUAUCCAAAGCAAAUGAAUACUGAACAUUCACGUUGAGAUGAUCUUUAAAUGUAAUUAAAUAGAGAUAAUGUAACUAAAAU